rnacentral:rRNA from 1 species
UACAGAGGUCUCAAGCGUUGUUCGGAUUCAUUGGGCGUAAAGGGCGCGUAGGCUGCGGGGCAAGUCGGGUGUGAAAUCUCAGAGCUCAACUCUGAAACUGCACUCGAUACUGCUUUGCUCGAGGACUGGAGAGGAGAUUGGAAUUCACGGUGUAGCAGUGAAAUGCGUAGAUAUCGUGAGGAAGACCAGUGGCGAAGGCGGAUCUCUGGACAGUUCCUGACACUGAGACACGAAGGCCAGGGGAGCAAACGGG